rnacentral:snRNA from 1 species
AGAUAAGAGUACAAUCUUGCUGCAACAUCUGUUACCCCAUUUACUGCCAACGUUGAUUUGGUUGAUCUGGCCGGCCAGACAGUGUAUCCUUUCUCCCUCAUUGCUCCAUGUACAUCCCUCCCAAAACUGCAAGCUCAGUGGAAAAGAAAGACCGUCCCAGGUAGGAGUGUACUUUUCAAUUAUCAAAAUACGUGAUUAUUGCAUUCUCCUGCUAAAGUUUCCCAACAACCUCAAGGUAUGGAGUUUGUCUAGGAUGUGGGAAACAGUGUUUCAGUAACAGUUUUGUGUGGGAUGUAUUCAUGAAUCAUUUCAG